rnacentral:rRNA from 1 species
CGACUAAGCCAUGCGAGUCGAAUGUAGCAAUACAUGGCGUACUGCUCAGUAACACGUGGACAACCUACCCUCCGGACGGGUAUAAACCCGGGAAACUGGGUAUAAUCCCCGAUAGAUCUCGGUCGCUGGAAUGCCCCGAGAUCGAAAGCUCCGGCGCCAGAGGAUGGGUCUGCGGCCUAUCAGGUAGUAGUGGGUGUAGCGUACCUACUAGCCUACGACGGGUACGGGUUGUGAGAGCAAGAGCCCGGAGAUGGAUUCUGAGACACGAAUCCAGGCCCUACGGGGUGCAGCAGGCGCGAAAACUUUACAAUGCCGGCAACGGCGAUAAGGGGACCUCGAGUGCCAGGUUACAAAUCUGGCUGUCGUGAUGCCUAAAAAGCAUUGCAUAGCAAGGGCCGGGCAAGACCGGUGCCAGCCGCCGCGGUAACACCGGCGGCUCGAGUGGUAACCGUUAUUAUUGGGUCUAAAGGGUCUGUAGCCGGCCGGAUAAGUCUCUUGAGAAAUCCAGCAGCUCAACUGUUGGGCUUUCAGGAGAUACUGUUCGGCUCGAGGCCGGGAGAGGUGAGAGGUACUUCAGGGGUAGGGGUGAAAUCUUGUAAUCCUUGAAGGACCACCAGUGGCGAAGGCGUCUCACCAGAACGGACCUGACGGCAAGGGACGAAAGCUAGGGGCACGAACCGGAUUAGAUACCCGGGUAGUCCUAGCCGUAAACGAUACUCGCUAGGUGUCGGCCACGGUGCGACCGUCGUCGGUGCCGUAGGGAAGCCGUGAAGCGAGCCACCUGGGAAGUACGGCCGCAAGGCUGAAACUUAAAGGAAUUGGCGGGGGAGCACCACAACGGGUGGAGCGUGCGG